GGAGGUUCUGAUCAGCAAAUAAGGAAGGAACAACAUCUGACAUCUUUACCCACUUUAACUGUGAGUAUAUGAAAUCUAGGCAACAAAAUAAAUAGAACAGAGACUGGAAGACGUGAUGCUUCCUGGGAGAACAUGUGCCCGAAAGUUCCCACAAUAAUCUCAUCAUGAGGCUCACUCGUUCUCACCUCCAGAGUUCUGGGGGGUAAAAUAAUACAUAAAUGCAAGGAUUAUCUUAUAUAUACACCAAGGGAAAGGAAAUACUGCCUAUUAAGAAUUAGCAGCUAACAGCUGGGCGCGGUGGCUCACACCUGUAAUCCCAGCACUUUGGGAGGCCAAGGCAGGCGGAUCACAAGAUCAGGAGUUCGAGACCAUGCUGGCUAACAAGCAUCAAGCAAAGAACUUGUAAUACGCUGAAUGCUGCAUAGAAGGUUUUGAAACUACUUACCUGCUGUGGAACACCUGUAUAACUUUAAAAUGCAUCAAUCAAUCUCGAGAGUAUGAUCAUGCUUCCUGCUUUUAAGGAUCUGAAGUUAACUGCAACUCCAAGUAUACAAGACUUCUUUGGGACCCAUGGAAGCAUCUCUACAUGCUCAUGUUUGCCAGAUUCAGUGGCCUCCUGAAACCUGGCCCUAGCUAAUAAGUUAAAAAGCUCUAAGUAAUCCCGAGCUGCAUUUGAAUCUCCAAGAUCACUUGUUCAUGGGUUGGUAAUACUUUAAAGAGCCAUUUGUUUAACUGCUAAUCUGGAUCUUAUAUUCUGAGCCCCAGCUUUUUUCUAAAGCAAAGAAAAUACAAAAUAAAAGUAAGACCAAAUGCCUUUGUACCAUGGAGAGAGAAAUGACUCAUUGGAAUGCUUCUGUUUUUCAUCACAUCAAAGAUGCAUCAACAUAAAUCAACCAUUAUAUCAUGCACCAUGAUAAAAAAGGGGGAUAAAAGUCCCCAAACCACUGCCAAUUAAACCAACACAGUGCCUUUGUAUUAUUCAGAAUUUUUAUCUUAGCCUUAUUGAAAGAGCUUUUUUAGAACAUAUUUAAACAAUUCUGUCAUAUUUCAUUCUUGCAUACUCAUUAAAAAGGAAAAUAUGAGAGAUACAAA
rnacentral:lncRNA from 1 species